rnacentral:rRNA from 1 species
ACAGCUGGGUAGCUAUGUCUGGAAGGGAUAAACGCUGAAAGCAUCUAAGCGUGAAGUCCACCCUAAGAUGAGAUUUCCCAUAACAUAAGUUAGUAAGACCCCUGGAAGACUACCAGGUUGAUAGGUGAGAGGUGUAAGCAUGGUAACAUGUUCAGCUGACUCAUACUAAUAGGUCGAGGGCUUAAUCUAAAA